rnacentral:rRNA from 1 species
GAUGAACGCUGGCGGCGUGCCUAAUACAUGCAAGUCGAGCGAACAGAUGAUGAGCUUGCUCCUCUCUCGUUAGCCGCGGACGUGUGUGUAACACGUGUAUACCCUACCUAUCUUUCUGGUAUAACUUCGGGAAACCGGCUCUAAUACCAGAUAAUAUCUUGCACCGCAUGGUUCAAUAGUGAAAUACGGCUUUUCUGUCUCUUCUCGCUGCUUCCGCGCUGCAUUAGAUGGUUGUUAAGGUAACGGCUUACCAAGGCUACGAUGCGUAGCCGAAGUGAGAGGGUGGUAGGCCACAUGGGAACGGAGACACGGACCAGACUCCUAAGGGAGGCAGCAGUAGGGAAUCUGACGCAAUGGGCGAAAGCAUGACGGAGCAAGGCCGAGUGAGUGAUGAAGGUGUUGGGAUCGUAAAAAUCGGUUAUGAGGGAAGAACAAAUGUGGAAGUAAAUAUGCACGGAGUGACGGUACCUAAUCAGAAAGCAACGGCUAACUACGUG